UACGUAGGGUGCGAGCGUUAAUCGGAAUUACUGGGCGUAAAGCGUGCGCAGGCGGUUCUCCAAGUCCGUUGUGAAAGCCCCGGGCUCAACCUGGGAAUGGCAGUGGAAACUAGGGGACUGGAAUCUGGCAGAGGGGGGUGGAAUGCCGCGUGUAGCAGUGAAAUGCGUAGAGAUGCGGCGGAACACCGAUGGUGAAGGCAGCCCCCUGGGCUGAGAUUGACGCUCAGGCACGAAAGCGUGGGGAGCAAACAGG
rnacentral:rRNA from 1 species